UCGAACGGUAACAUGGCUAGCUUGCUAGCUGAUGACGAGUGGCGGACGGGUGAGUAACGCGUAGGAAUCUACCUAUUAGUGGGGGACAACCUGGUGAAAACCAGGCUAAUACCGCAUACGCCCUACGGGGGAAAGCAGGGGAUCUUCGGACCUUGCGCUAUUAGAUGAGCCUGCGUUAGAUUAGCUUGUUGGUGAGGUAAUGGCUCACCAAGGCGACGAUCUAUAGCUGGUCUGAGAGGAUGAUCAGCCACACCGGGACUGAGACACGGCCCAGACUCCUACGGGAGGCAGCAGUGGGGAAUAUUGCGCAAUGGGCGAAAGCCUGACGCAGCCAUACCGCGUGUGUGAAGAAGGGUUUAGGCUCGUAAAGCACUUUAAGUAGGGAGGAAGGCCUGUAAAUUAAUACUUUGCAGGAUUGACGUUACCUACAGAAUAAGCACCGGCUAACUCCGUGCCAGCAGCCGCGGUAAUACGGAGGGUGCAAGCGUUAAUCGGAAUUACUGGGCGUAAAGCGCGCGUAGGCGGUUUGUUAAGCGAGAUGUGAAAGCCCAGGGCUCAACCUUGGAACUGCAUUUCGAACUGGCAGGCUAGAGUACAAGAGAGGGUGGUAGAAUUUCCUGUGUAGCGGUGAAAUGCGUAGAUAUAGGAAGGAAUACCAGUGGCGAAGGCGGCCACCUGGCUUGAUACUGACGCUGAGGUGCGAAAGCGUGGGGAGCGAACAGGAUUAGAU
rnacentral:rRNA from 1 species